CGGGCUGUAGUAUAUUGGUAGUACGCAAGGCUGGGGGUCUUGUAGGCUGGGUUCGAUUCCCAGCAGCCCGA
rnacentral:tRNA from 1 species